ACCAGCAGAGAUAUCACUCUGCGACUCACAGCUGGCAGCCCACUGAAGUCCAGCAGGUGUGAGUCUGACCAGUAUCUGGGUGGGAGACCUCCUGGGAAGCUAAGGUUGCUGCUGGAA
rnacentral:rRNA from 1 species